rnacentral:tRNA from 2 species
UCCGGCGUAGCUCAAUGGCAGAGCAAACGGCUGUUAACCGUUAGGUUACUGGUUCGAGUCCAGUCGCCGGAGCCA